UACAGAGGGGGCAAGCGUUGUUCGGAAUUACUGGGCGUAAAGGGCUCGUAGGUGGCCAACUAAGUCAGACGUGAAAUCCCGCGGCUUAACCGUGGGCUUGCAGCCGAUACGGGCAGGCUAGAGUUCGGUAGGGGAGACUGGAAUUCCUGGUGUAGCGGUGAAAUGCGCAGAUAUCAGGAGGAACACCGGUGGCGAAGGCGGGUCUCUGGGCCGAUACUGACGCUGAGGAGCGAAAGCGUGGGGAGCGAACAGG
rnacentral:rRNA from 1 species